rnacentral:rRNA from 1 species
UACAGAGGCCUCGAGCGUUAGGCGGAAUCACUGGGCUUAAAGCGUGUGUAGGCGGACUUCUAAGUACCUUGUGAAAUCCCACAGCUUAACUGUGGAACUGCUUGGUAUACUGGUUGUCUUGAGGUACCUAGGGGCGAGCGGAACAAGUGGUGGAGCGGUGAAAUGCGUAGAUAUCACUUGGAACGCCAACGGUGAAAACAGCUCGC